UACGUAGGGGGCAAGCGUUGUCCGGAAUCAUUGGGCGUAAAGAGCGCGUAGGCGGCCCGAUAAGUCCGCUGUGAAAGUCAAGGGCUUAACCCUUGAAUGCCGGUGGAAACUGUCGGGCUAGAGUCCGGAAGAGGCGAGUGGAAUUCCUGGUGUAGCGGUGAAAUGCGCAGAUAUCAGGAGGAACACCGGUGGCGAAGGCGGGUCUCUGGGCAGUAACUGGCGCUGAGGAGCGAAAGCGUGGGGAGCGAACAGG
rnacentral:rRNA from 1 species